UAUAGUUCAGUGCCAGAGCACUUGCCUGACAUGUAAAAGGCCUGGGCUCAAUUCCCAGUA
rnacentral:tRNA from 1 species